rnacentral:rRNA from 1 species
GGCGCAAGGGUGCGUAACACGUGGGUAAUCUGCCAUGAAGUUUGGGAUAACUUGCUGAAAGGCGAGCUAAUACCGGAUGUGAAAAUCGGGUGGCAUCAUUUGAUUUUCAAAGCUGGGGACCGUAAGGCCUGGCGCUUCAUGAUGAGCCCGCGGCCUAUCAGCUAGUUGGUGAGGUAACGGCUCACCAAGGCUAAGACGGGUAGCUGGUCUGAGAGGACGACCAGCCACACUGGAACUGAGACACGGUCCAGACACCUACGGGUGGCAGCAGUCGAGAACUUUUCACAAUGGGCGCAAGCCUGAUGGAGCGACGCCGCGUGGGGGAUGAAUGGCUUCGGCCCGUAAACCCCUGUCAUCUGGGAACAAUGCUCAUUCAAUAACACUGGAUGAGUUGAUAGUACCGGAAGAGGAAGGGACGGCUAACUCUGUGCCAGCCGCCGCGG